rnacentral:rRNA from 1 species
GACGAACGCUGGCGGCGUGCUUAACACAUGCAAGUCGAACGGGUCUGCCCUGUUUUUUGCGGGGUGGGUCAGUGGCGAACGGGUGAGUAACACGUGAGUAACCUGCCCCUCACUUCUGGAUAACCGCUUGAAAGGGUGGCUAAUACGGGGUGUUCUGGCUGUGCCGCAUGGUGUGGCUGGGAAAGAUUCACUUUUGUGGUGUUUUGGUGGGGGAUGGGCUCGCGGCCUAUCAGCUUGUUGGUGGGGUGAUGGCCUGCCAAGGCUUUGACGGGUAGCCGGCCUGAGAGGGUGGGCGGUCACACUGGGACUGAGAUACGGCCCAGACUCCUGCGGGAGGCAGCAGUGGGGGGUAUUGCACAAUGGGCGGAAGCCUGAUGCAGCGACGUCGCGUGAGGGAUGGAGGCCGUCGGGUUGUGAACCUCUUUCGCCGGUGAAGAAGGUCCUGCUCUUUGUGGUGGGGUUGACGGUAGCCGGGUUAUGAAGCGCCGGCGAACUACGU